rnacentral:rRNA from 1 species
UUCCGCCGACGACCGGCGCACGGGUGCGUAACGCGUAUACAAUCUACCUUAUACUGGGGUAUAGCCUUUAGAAAUGAAGAUUAAUCCCCCAUAGUCUCUUAAAGUGGCAUCACUUAAGGAGUAAAGGUUACGGUAUGAGAUGAGUAUGCGUUCUAUUAGUUUGUUGGUGUGGUAACGGCACACCAAGACUACGAUAGAUAGGGGCCCUGAGAGGGGGAUCCCCCACACUGGUACUGAGACACGGACCAGACUCCUACGGGAGGCAGCAGUGAGGAAUAUUGGACAAUGGAGGCAACUCUGAUCCAGCCAUGCCGCGUGCAGGAUGACGGCCCUAUGGGUUGUAAACUGCUUUUAUGUAGGAAGAAACACUCUCACGUGUGAGAGCUUGACGGUACUACAAGAAUAAGGACCGGCUAACUCCGUGCCAGCAGCCGCGGUAAUACGGAGGGUCCAAGCGUUAUCCGGAAUCAUUGGGUUUAAAGGGUCCGUAGGUGGAUAAUUAAGUCAGAGGUGAAAUCUUGCAGCUCAACUGUAAAAUUGCCUUUGAUACUGGUUAUCUUGAGUUAUUAUGAAGUAGUUAGAAUAUGUAGUGUAGCGGUGAAAUGCAUAGAUAUUACAUAGAAUACCAAUUGCGAAGGCAGAUUACUAAUAAUCAACUGACACCGAUGGACGAAAGCGUGGGUAGCGAACAGGAUUAGAUACCCUGGUAGUCCACGCCGUAAACGAUGUCUACUAGCCGUUGGGGGACUUGAUCUCUUAGUGGCGCAGUUAACGCGAUAAGUAGACCGCCUGGGGAGUACGGCCGCAAGGUUAAAACUCAAAUGAAUUGACGGGGCCCGCACAAGCGGUGGAGCAUGUGGUUUAAUUCGACGCAACGCGAAGAACCUUACCAGGUCUUGGCAUCCUGCGAACUUUCUAGAGAUAGAUUGGUGCCUUCGGGAAC